UACGUAGGGGGCAAGCGUUGUCCGGAAUCAUUGGGCGUAAAGCGCGUGUAGGCGGCCCGGUAAGUCCGCUGUGAAAGUCCAGGGCUCAACCCUGGAAUGCCGGUGGAUACUGUCGGGCUCGAGUCCGGAAGAGGAGUGUGGAAUUCCUGGUGUAGCGGUGAAAUGCGCAGAUAUCAGGAGGAACACCAAUGGCGAAGGCAGCACUCUGGGACGUGACUGACGGCUGAGGCGCGAAAGCCAGGGGAGCAAACGGGAUUAAG
rnacentral:rRNA from 1 species